GAAAGAAAGAAAGAAAGAAAGAAAGAAAAUCAAUUCUUCUCUCCAGGAGCAAAAUAAAACUAUUAAAAAGACCAAUUUAGGUGGUCAGACAGAGGACUGAAGUACUGCAGCAGUCCAUUUGUAUACACCUCAAAACAAAGAAUCUAUACUGCGCUUCAGGAAGCAAGGUCUGACAAGACAAUGUAGCCAAUUAAUGCAACUGAAAUCACAUUUCUCUCCUUGCAAACGAAUAUGCCUUUGUAAAAUCAUCUUUAGUCCAGUUCAAAUCUAUGCAAUCUAAAUGUGAAAAUGCAUUCUUUGAUAAACCCUCUUAACCCAAGAUUUUUUCUUUGGUUUUUAGCAUUACAACCUAAAUGUGAGACAGAUACGGCAAAAAUACUGCUCUCUGUGGUUUCCGUAGAGCUUACAGUACAUCUCAACAGAUAACUGGGAAAAGAUAAUGGAAAAAGGACAGAACUGGCAGGCAAAUUGCAUUGUACUGCAUCUUCUGGAAACAAACCAACGUCCCACAUCUGCGCCAUGAUCCAUCCAGCACCGGAGCGAGGGAUCAGGUGACACUGGCCAAGAAUGAAUGAAACAUUUUCAGUUCUGGCAGACAGUUGGCCAGAAAAGCCCACAAAGACCUUGGUGUGUGGCAUUGACGGAUGUUACGAUUUUAAAAUGUUUGGGCCCUUCAUUAUUCUGGUCCCUCUCCGUUUUCUGAUCCCAUCCCCCCUUCCCCACUAUCGGUACCGCCAAAGCAGAUUUUAGACUAAUCCAGUCAUAUCAGUGUCAGCUACCCUCGAUUAUGUUUAUUUGCAUUAUAGCCUAAAGUUGAUGAUAUACCACCUUAACCUUUCAUUUAACACAUCGCAUUAUCUGCAUGGAAGAACGAGAAGGAUUUCGACUUUCGGAUAGCAUGGUGUGGUGAGCUGCUGUGAUAACGCACCGAUCAGCACAGAGACGUACAAAAGAGCGUUUAGACUGCACGGCAGAGCCCAGACCAGGUGCCACCGUGUCGCUAGCGUCAUUUUUAGCAGAACACUGAGACGCGGCCGGCAGCGGCGGACAACGGCUCGGGACAAACCACUUCGCCGUGGUUUGCGGGUGUGUGUGUGUGUGAGUGGGGGGGUACGCUUCUUCCCAUCACAUACCAAAAUAAAUAGAGUGGUCAGCCCCAUUUUUUCCCGGCCCAAAUGUGACAAGAGGGUGUGUCUGCAGAGCCGGAGGCUGCACGAAUACGGCCGCAGGACUACGGCCGUACCCAGGCGUGAACUAACCAUGACGUCACCCGUUGGUUUCAACCAUAGACUGUAUAUAUAAUGGACAAUAAAAAAAAUAAAUUAAAAAAAGUAUAUAUAGUGGACGUAGCAUCUGGCUCCAGAAUUGAAGCCAACCCGGAAGUGUCAAAAACUUGCAAUAUCACGCCGUCCGCUAGGGUUGGCUCCAAAAAGCUU